rnacentral:sRNA from 2 species
UUUACAAAAGGCAUAUAAUCUGCCAAAAUACCUAAUCGCGUAGGUCUGAAAAAUUCAGACCCAUUCUUAAUUAGAUUAAUAGAAUGUCCAAGCGCG